GCCUGUUCUUUAAUUAUUAUACCAGUGGGCCGAAGUCCUAACUUUUCCUUUAUUUAAAUUUAGCAAAAGAAGCUUAAAACUUCGUUACUAGACUUGUUUCCAAUUUCUAGCCGUGCGUAGGACUAGCAGACGCCGGGAGUACUGAUAUUAAAUUCCAGCAGUAAACUGGUUACAAUAUAAUCCCUAAGAAACUAAUCUUUAACAGAUAUAAAUAAUGGAGCCUUAAUAAAACUAUUAAUGUGAUGACUUAUUUCUUACUCUUAUAGAAUACUUAAGAGAUUUAAGAUAUAUAAUGACAACGACAAAAAUAUUUCCUACUGCGGUCACAUGACCUGUAAAAUGGCUCUUCACGGAGAAACAACAAAAAUGCUUUGGACCGAUAGUAAAACUUAAAUAUUUCCUUACUGAGACAUUUUCAGGACUUAUAAUGGGUUGAAAUAUAAUUUCAGGUAUAUGCAUAUUUGUGCCAGACACCUUACAAUCUAUGAAAAAUAUGUUAUCAAGUAAAACGAGUUUGGUAAACAAGUAGAAGGGGCACUUGCCAAACAAAAUGCCUAAAGUUAAAAAGUUGCAAAUAUAACAGUAUGUCCAAUUCAAAUAAAUGUUCAUCAAGUCAAUAAUAUUUCUGUUGUAGGCUAUCAUCCA
rnacentral:lncRNA from 1 species